rnacentral:rRNA from 1 species
UACGUAGGGUGCAAGCGUUGUCCGGAAUUAUUGGGCGUAAAGAGCUCGUAGGCGGUCUGUCGCGUCGGCUGUGAAAUCCCGAGGCUCAACCUCGGGUCUGCAGUCGAUACGGGCAAACUAGAGUAUUGCAGGGGAGACUGGAAUUCCUGGUGUAGCGGUAAAAUGCGCAGAUAUCAGGAGGAACACCGGUGGCGAAGGCGGGUCUCUGGGCAAUAACUGACGCUGAGGAGCGAAAGCGUGGGGAGCGAACAGG